rnacentral:lncRNA from 1 species
AGGGACCUGGAUUCUUAGUAUUUCAGGCUGCUGUCCCUUUUUUUUUUUCAUUUCCUUUUUGUUUUUGUUGUUGAUGUGACCGCGUGUCCACAACCCUGGGAUUCCCUCGCCCUCAGAUUCCAGAAUCCAAUUUCUUGGAUUUCAGUGUUUUUAAGUCUAAGGCCUCAGCUCAGCUCUGAUAGGAGCUACUGGAAGCAAGUGACUUCGCAGAGGACCUAAACUGUAAGAAGUUCGCAUUGAAAGCUGGAGCCAAGGUCGGUUUCGUGGGUGUGCAUCAGGCAUAGACAGGGCCUCGUGCUCAGAAGAGCUCUGUUCAAAAGGGUCCUGCACUGGGGGGCUAAUGUUCUAUGACACUGUCUUAGAAUUCUUUUCUGUUUUUUUGAGGUGGGAGGUCUCGCUAUGCUUCCCAGGCUGGACUCAAAUUCCUGGGCUCAAGUGAUUCCCCCGCCUCAGCCUCCUGAGUAGCUGGGACUACAGAUAUGGCAUGUCAGUCUGGUGGUCUAGCCAGAGGAAGACUCCUGGAGCUGGUGAACUGUGCAUGGAUAUGCAGUCACGGGCAGCCCACCUCCUACUCCUCACCCUCCCUGUGCCUGUGAGGGUCUGCACUCACCCUGUAAGUAUCCCUGUGCCCAAGGAAGCAUAGCAUCAAACAGUAAAUAAGAAACACCAAGAGAGGGCAAGACAGAGACCACAGAAGAAAGGAAAAGUUUGUAGUUUAGUGCCUCUAAUGGCACUUUUUUCCCUACCCAUCUUUUCUUUUCUUCUUUUUUUUUUUCAGGGUCUUGCUUUAUUGCCCAGGCUGGAGUACAGUGGCGCAAUCACGGCUCACUGCAGCCUCAACCUCUUGGGCCCGAGCAAUCUUCCCACCUUGGUCUCCUAAAGUGCUGGGAUAACAGGCAUGAGCCACCACAUCUGGCUGAGGCCCCACAUUUUCAUUUUGUGCUGAGACUUGUAAAUUAGGUAGCUGGUCCUGGCUGUAGCAGAUGGUAUAGAUUCUUUUUCUGGCUCUGUUUUUGUGACAUCUCAACUUACUGGGCUCUUAUUAAAGGUGAUUUAGGUGACUUAUCAACUUUUCAUGAGUACAGAUGAAGAACUCUUCUAGGGCAGGGGUCCCCAACCCUUGGGCCACAGACCAGUACUGGCCUAUUAGGAGCCAGGCCGCACAGCAGGAGGUGAGUGGCAGGCAAGCAAAUCAAGCUUCAUCUGUAUUUACAGCCACUCCCCAUCACUAGCAUUAUUGCCUGAGCUUGGCCUCCUGUCAGAUCAGUGGCGACCUUGAUUGUCAUAGGAGCGUGAACCCUCUAGUGAACUGCGCAUGGCAGAGAUCUAGGUUGCACUCUCCUUGUGAGAAUCUAAUGCUUGAUGAUCUGUCACUGUCUCCCAUCACUCCGAGAUGGGAUCGCCUAGUUGCAAGAAAACAAGUUCAAGGCUCUCACUGAUUUUGCCUUAUGGUGAGUUGUAUAAUUAUUUCAUUAUAUAUUACAAAGUAAUAAUAAUAGAAAUAAAGUGCACAAUAAAUGUAAUGUACUUGAAUCAUCCCUAAACUAUCCCCUGCCGCCCUAGUCUGUGGAAAAAUGGUCUUUCAUGAAACUGGUCCCUGUUGCCUAAAAGGUUGGGACUGCUGCUCUAGAAGGUAUGGGAUUGGGAGGUGGGGGUCACACAGAUAGCCACUGACAACCUGAGAAUAGUGACAUGGGCCUGUAAAAACAGAUCAAUAGGUAUCUGUGGAAGGUAUUGAUGAAUACAUGAAUGAAUGAAUGAAACAACAAACUAAGAAAAAUGGCAUGGCAUGCAUGAAUGUGUGAUGGGCUCAAAAUAUGAUCCUCAUAGGGAUAUUUGCCUUAGAAAAAGGAGGCAAAGGCUAAGCUGGAAAAAUCUGUGGCAAUUGAGAGCCCUUGGGGGCUCUGGGUAUGGGUGGGAGGAAUCUAAAGUCUCUCUGUAGAGACUGGUCUUGGGCCAUCCAAUCUUCUCUGCCCGCUACAGCUAAGCCUUUUUCUGCCCACUACAGCUUCCCACAUGCUGCUUCAAUGUUGAUAUCUUGAAGAGGUUCCAGCCUGGCAUGGUGGCUCACACCUGUAAUCCCAGCACUCUGGGAGUUCAAGGUGGGAGGAUUGCUUGAGCCCAGGAGUUCAAGAACAGCCUAGGCAACCUAGUGAGACCACAUCUCUACAAAAAAUUUAAAAAUUAGCUCAACGUGGUGGUGUGUGUCCAUAGUCCCAGCUACUCAGGAGACUGAGAUAGGAGGAUCACUGGAGCCCACAGGCUACAGUGAGCAAUGAUUGUGCCACUGCACUCUAGCCUGGGUGACAGAGCAAGACAUUGUCGCCCAGAAAAAACAAAAAGAGAAAAUAGAAGAGGUUCUUACUGUACAAUAGGACUUUUUUUUUUCUUUUUUGGAGUCAGAGUCUUGCUUUGUCACCCAGGCUGGAGUGCAAUCGCACGAUCUCAGCUCACUGCAGCCUCCGCCUCCUGGGUUCAAGCGAUUCUUCUGCCUCAGCAUCCUGAGUAGUUGGGGUUACAGGCAUGGGCCAGCACGCCCGGCUAAUUUUUAUAUUUUUAGUAGAUGGGGUUUCACCAUAUUGGCCAGGCUGGUCUUGAACUCCUGAUCUCAAGUGAUCUACCUGCCUCGGCCUCCCAAAGUGAUAGGAUCACAGGCGUGAGCCACCUCACCCAGCCACAAUAAGAGCUUUUUAAUGAGAAGAAGACACAAGUCUUGAUUGAGAAUUUCUCUUCCUGAGAGGAAGUACCAGCAUGUUAUGGACCUUAGCUGAUUUGUCUUUAAAAAUCUCAAGCUGUAAUAAUUCCCAGUUGCUCAGUGCACAGUGAAUGAGGCUGAUAUUUAAACAGAACGCCUCAAAGGCACCCGCUGUGUCCACACUUUCUCCCUGCCUGUCCUAUGCCUCUCCAGGUGAUGUCCAUCUUCUCCUUGAAGCCCUCUCUGGCUGCUCCAGUCCCUGAGCUUUCCUUCCUGCACUCAUACAGCAUGAGGAAGGCUCCAUCUUUUUCUAGAUGUGCUAUUUUUUUUAGCAUUUGCUGUGUGCACUUUAGAGGCUCAUUGCCUCUUUGAGACCAAGGAUGGCACUGUCCCUUCUCUCUAGUUGCUCUGAGUGCCAAGCACAGCCCUGAACACCAAAUACUUUGACUCUUCUGUGGCUACUCAACCCUCCUGGCUGUUCCUUCAUCACCCUGGACCGGCCCCCACUCCAGGGUCUUUGCACUUGCUCUCCCUCUGCUUAGAAAGCCCUUCUCCCUGCAAUCUGCAGGGGCUUGAUUACUCUUCUCUUUCAGGCCUUUGCUCAAAUGUCACCUCAUCAAUGCACCCUUCUCUGACCAUCCUAUUGAAUAUUCCAAAUCUUUUUUUUUUUUUUUUUUUUUGAGACAGAGUCUUGCUCUUGUCGCCCAGGCUGGAGUGCAGUGGCACGAUCUUGGCUCACUGCAACCUCUGCCUCCUGGGUUCAAGUGAUUCUCAUACCUCAGCAUCCUCAGGAGCUGGGAUUACAGGCGCCCGCCAUCACACCCGGCUAAUUUUUGUAGUUUUAGUAGAGGCAGGGUUUUGCCAUGUUGGCCAGGCUAGUCUCAAACUCCUAACCUCACGUGAUCCACCCGCCUUGGCCUCCCAAAGUGCUGGGAUUACAGGUGUGAGCAGGCCAGGAACUAUUGUGCCAUGGAUAUUGUUGGUAGCCUAUCCAUCUUCUAUGUCCACAUCUGCAGGGGAAGGGGACCCUACCCUCAGCUCCUGGGGUGGUCCCUGGUUGGCACAGUCCAUUCUCCUGAGCACAGUCACAGUCUUCAGAGGGGCACCUGGUACCUGAGCUGUCCAAUCGGGGAGAUUCUUGGGACUCUCACCAGUAAUGUUGGUGUAGACUUGUUUCCUGUUCUUCCUGGAGACCUUGUUGGCCUGACUGAGCCAUCUGGCCACCAGAGUGAGGAUGUGGACAACAUAAAGCAGAGGGCAGAACCGAGGGAACCCCAGAUAAGGGGAGCCAGACCUGGAUUAAGGCAACUCUGAAAGGCAAGACUCUCUGGAUACUUUUUAAGGCACUUGGGGACUAAAAUAAUAGAGAGUCUAACAAAAAAAAUUUAAGAUGUCCAUUAUAUUGUUCAAAGUAUAAAGAAAUAUGGAAACUCCUUUGCUUACAAACUUCCAGCUUCCAAUUAAGCAGAGACCCCAAAGCUAUAGCCCAAAGCAAAAGUAUGUUGCCUUUAGUAGGGGGCACCUGUCGCCGACUCCCAGGAGUGUGGAGUUGGGAACUAGUUGGCAUUUUCAGUUUGUUCUAGAAGUCCAGGACUAUGUAUCUUGUCUUCUUAACCUGAAUGGGAUUCUCCCCAGUUCAGGGAACCAGCUGUGAGCUUUUUUUUUUUUUUUUUUUUGAGACAGGGUCUCACUCUGUUGCCCACGCUGGAGUGCAGUAGUACAAUCAUGGCUCACUGCAGCCUCGACCUUCUGGGCUCAAGCAAUCCUCCUGCCUCAGCCUCCCAAGUAGCUGGGACUACAGGCAUGUGCCAACACGUCCAGCUAAUUUUUGUGUUUUUUGUAGAGAUGGGGUUUCACCUUGUUGCUCAGUCUGGUCUCAGACUCCUGGACUCAAGUGAUCUGCCUGCCUCAGCCUCCAGAAUUGCAGGGAUUACAAGCGUGAGCCACCACACCUGAGUUCUCUCUUAUUGUAAUGAAAGUUUUCAGGGGAUCCACAUUUCAGCUCCCUGUACCCCUGUAAUCACAAGAGGGACCAAUGCUGUAAUGUCCUCUUAGCAAAUAGCCAAGAGCACACAGAUCUGACACACGUGGAAGGUAUUGUGAGGCUGUGUUCUGAAAAGGAAUAGUAAACUAGGAAAAGUUUCUCUUCAAACAAACAAACAAAAACCUGCCCUCUGACAAGCAGGUGCUUCUCUCAGGUUCUUGGCUUCCCAGUUUACUACCUGGCAUAUCUGUAGCAAAUGGUCGCUGAGAACCUGGAAGCAAUUCCUCAUUUGCAAGUCAAUGGCAGAUUUUUUUUUUUUCCUUUUUGAGACAGUCUCGCUUUGUUGCCCAGGCUAGAGUGUAUGGUGUGAUCUCAGCUCACUGCAACCUCAGCCUCCUGGGUUCAAGUGAUCCAUUCUCCUGCCUCAGCCUCCCGAGUAGCUGGGACUACAGGCAUGUGCCACCAUGCCCAGCUAAUUUUUGUAUUUUUAGUAGAAACGGGGUUUUGCCAUGUUGGCCAGGCUGCUCUCGAAUUCCUGACCUCAAGUGAUCCCCUCGCCUUGGCCUCCCAAAAUGCUGGGAUUACAGGCAUGAACCACCACACCGGCCAAUUUUUUGUGGUUUUCGUAGAGACAGGAUUUCAUUACGUUGGCCAAAUUGGUCUCAAACUCCUGUCCUCGUGAUCCACCCGCCUCGGCUCUCCAAAGUGCUGGGGGAUUACAGGCGUGAGCCAAUGCGCCAGGCCAAUAAUCACUGCUGGCAUUCUUGAGUGCCCAUAUGUGCCACACACUGUUUUUGCAAAAAUUAUAACUGAAGAAAUUAUGACAGUGAAAGAGAUCAGACCUAACCAACUCCAUCUUGCUUCUAACCUUUAAGCUGUCCUUGUACAUUCCUGGGCAUAGGCCGAACUAACUUUGGGAAGGAAUUCUGUUCAUGGUUUGACUCCGAAACAAAAUUGAUAACAGCCCUUUUCCAAGGCCCCCUUCUUGCCUGGGGACCAGUCUGCCUUUGCAGGGCUAACACAUUAGCUACAAGAUUAGAAAUUACGGGUUAGUGGUAAUGCAGCCUCUGGCUCCAAGAGUCUGAACCUCCUCAAAUUGCUCCUGGGGAUAACAUCACUAUUGUAAAACCUAAGAUCAGUGCUUGAGAUAUUUUGUAGACCCUGCACUUGAUGGAUCAGCUGACAUCACCCGGACUGGUUAUCUGGCUCAACCUGUUCUGCCAUCCCACCCAGGAACAGAAGACAGUAAGAAAAACUCACUUUGACCCCAUAUGAUUCCAUCUCCAACCUGAUCCAUCAGCACUCCCCACUUCCCGAGCCCCUACCCGCCAAAUUAUCUUUAAAAACUCUGCUCUCCGAAUGCUCCGGGAGACUGAUUUGAGUAAUAAUAAAACUCCAGUCUCCCUCUCCCGCACAGCCAGCUGUGUGUGAAUUACUCUUUCUCCACUGCAAUUCCCCUGUCUUGAUAAAUUAGCUCUGUCUAGGCAGCAGGCAAGGUGAACCCACUGGGCAGUUACAUAUUUACAUUUAUUUAUUUGUUUGUUGAGACAAGGUCUGUCACCCAGCCUGGGGUGCAGUGAUGUGAUCUCUGCUCACUGCAGCCUUGACUUCCCGGGCUCAAGCCAUCCUCCCACCUCAGCCUCCCAAGUAGCUGGGACUACAGGUGCACGACACCAUGCCUGGUUAAUUUUCAUAUUUUUUGUAGAGGUGGGGUUUCACCAUAUUGCCCAGGCUGGCCUCAAACUCCUGGACUCAAGAGAUCCCUCUGCCUCAGCCUCCCAAAGUGCUAGGAUUACAGGCAGGAGCCACCGUUCCCAGCCCUUGCCUUACAUUUAAUCUUCACUAUUAAUACACACAUGUUAUAAAUGAGAGCAUCAAAGUAUGGAGAGCAGAAGCAACUUGUCCAAGGUCAUACGCAACUAGAAAGGAGUGUAACUGAUAUUUAAACCCUAACAGUCUGGUUCCAGAAUCUGUGCUUUUAAAGUCAAGAUGAAAAGCAUGUCUGGGCCUUGACCCUUGGAACCCACCCCUACCACACAGGCUUUAGCUAGCAGAGGGGCAGCAAAGGAAGACAGCAAGAGGUGGCCUCUGGUCGUAGCUCUUUGUGGUUUGCCAAGGCUUUCUGGUUCACUGACUCAAAAGGGUUUGGGGCUUUACAGACUGGUAAGAUCUCCCAAACUGGGUAGUUGUACUUUAAUUUUGUUAAGUAAAAACAUUUUUAAAAAUCUGCUAACAUCACUAUCAUUUCAUAAAGUAAAUGUAAUUUCAAUGCAAAUAAACCCCAAGAAAGACACAAUCUCAGAGUACAGUCCAGGCCUUUAGGUUGAAUAAAUCUACCUUUGUAAACACCUCCUUUCGUUGUCCUGAUUUUCCUCAUCUCACCGUGGGCUGGUGAAAACGUCCUCAUGUGUAGCACCUGUUUAAGGACUGCCAUCCAGGAACCACUGUGGUACUUCAUACGAUCCCCAUAAACCCUCUGCAAGGUAGACAGGGAAAGUCUUGUUUACCCCACUCUACUAACGAAGAAAUCGAGGCUCAGAGAAGUCUUGUUUAAGGACACACAGCCUGAAAAAUGGCAGGGCCAGGUUACAAACCCAUGUUUUCAGACUGCAGGGGUCCAGUGCUCUUUCCUUCUAUACCUCAAAGCGUUCACAAAAUGCACUCACUGACCACUGGCUUGGUUGCUGUGUGAGGACCUAAAUGUUCAGAAAGAGAAGAAGCAUUUCCAAGUGCCAUUUCCAUUGAAUGGAGUAGUGCAGCUGGCUGAAAGGUAGCCCCUGGAUUCAGGGCGAGAUGGGAAGCCCCUCAGGGGCAAGGUCGGAGUACAUUUCCUCUUUCAUUCCCGGGCUCAGCCCACACAGGGAUGAGCAUACGGGGCUGGCAACAAGUCCUUGCAGCUUAGAAGUGUGAGUGUGGUUUCUAUUUAUUUAUUUUUAAUUAAGAAAUUUUUUUUUAGAGACAGGGUCUUGCCAUGUAGUCCAGGCUGGUCUCAAACUCCUGGGCUCAAGCUCUCCUCUCACUUCGUCCUCCCAAAGUGCUGGGAUUACAGGCGAGAGCCACUGGGCCUGACUGGAGUAUGCUUUUUUUGGUUUGUUUUUGAGACGAAGUCUUGCGCUGUCCCCCAGGCUGAAGUUCAGUGGUGUGAUCUCAGCUCACUGCAACCUCCACCUCCCGGAUUCAAGCGAUUCUCCUGCCUCAGCCUCCUGAGCAGCUGGGAUUACAGGCAUGUGCCACCAUGCUCAGCUAUUUUUCAUUAUUUUUAGUAGAGACGAGGUUUCACCAUACUGGCCAGGCUGGUCUCGAACUCCUGACCUCAGGUGAUCCGCCCACCUCAGCCUCCCAAAAUGCUGGGAUUACAGGUGUGAGCCACUGAACCUGCCCUGGAGUAUGGUUUUAAAUGCUAGUUUUUAUCUAACAGAAUUUUACUGUGGUAAGAAGGGAGGAAGAAAAAAAAUCCCAGACUUAAUUUGAGAGGAUGUUACUGGGAGUUGGGAGAAAAGGAUGAAAUCCAGAGAAGACUUGAUGGAGGCACCCUGGGCAGUGAGGGGAGGAGGGAGGCAGCAAAAGGGGCCUUAUCCCUGAAGGAGGACAGCUGGCAGGGAGGCAGGAGCAUUGUCUGUGGUGUCCCACUGUCUUAGGAUCAAGACCACACCCCUGAUAUUGCCCCCCAGUGCCUAAGGCCUUGCCCUGCCUACUGCCCUAGUGUCACCUGCACUACUCUUGUUCUGGGUUUCUGAGCUCCAGACACAUUUCCUUAAAGAUAUCCCCAUGGGACCCCACCUCGGGGCCUUUUUGUUUUUUUGUUUGUUUGUUGUUUUUUUUUUUUGGCAGGGUCUUGCUCUGUUGUCUAGGCUGGAGUGUAGUGGCACAAUCACAGUUCACUGCAGCCUCUACGUCCUGGGCUCAGGCAAUCCUCCAUCUCAGCCUCCUGAGUGGCUGAGACUACAGGUGCACACUGCUAUACCCAGCUAUUUUUUUUUUUUUUUUGUAGAGACAGGGUUUUGCCAUGUUGCCCAGGCUGGUCUCGAACUCCUGGGCUCAAGCCAUCCUCCUGCCUCGGCUUCCCAAAGUGCUGGGAUUACAGGUGUGAGCCACUGUGCCGGGCCCACCUCAGAGCCUUUGAGCAUGGCAUUCCCGCUCCUGGGUUUCCACCAGUACUUACUAAUGCCUAUUCAUCUUUUGGUGACUUCCCUGACUCCUAUCUACCAGCUGGAGGCGUAGACAGCCCAGAGCCACAUCAGCCCACUUCCAGAAGCAGUGAGCAUUUCAAUGUCCACAGUGUGCACAGGCCCCAGGGGCAGUGGCUUCACCAGGAGGUGCUCAUGAAGCCCACAGUAGCACCAAGGAGCACUCCUUAUCUUGUCCUGGAUGGAGUCAGCACCCUGAGCCUUCCCUUCAGAUCCUUGUUAUAGUCUGCAAUUACGUAUCUGGGUGAUUGUUUCAUUAAUGUCCUUCUCCCAACUAAAUAGUCAGCUUCCUUUUUGUUGGCCAUGGUAUCUGCAGCCUAGCACGGACCCAGAGGCCUGGACGGUGCCCGCUAAGUGUUUGUGGAAUGGCUUCCUUCCUUGUUUUGCCAAGGGGUGCCAGAAUGUGCCACUGGCAUUUGCUUUUCAUUUACACUAUUCUUGUGGCUAGGGUGGAGUGGGUUGGAGGUCAUGGCCAUCUCUAGAGAGCUGUUCCAAGACUACUUGAGCUUGUGUUUUCUUCCCAGCCCAAGAUUCAGAAUCCACUGGCCUUGAGUUCGCCCUGUCCUGGGGACAGUGGGACCUGUCACCUGCUGGCCAAGGUAGGGCUCCAACUUUGUGAAAAGUACAUGCGGCAGGUCUGACCCUUAAACAACUCUUCUGACGUGUGGAAUGCAGGGCUGGGUGGGAGCAGCCGGCACACCUGUCAUUCACUGUUUAGCCACUGAAGGGCAGUGUUGCUCCACAGGAAGGGGCCAGGCAGAUGUGCGCCAUCACUGUGGCUCCCAGGUCGGAAUGAGGAUAUUUUAGCUAGUCCCUACCAAGCACCACUGGUGUGCUAGUCACUUUGAAUAUAGUACUCGUGCAAUCAUGCAAGAGAAAGUUGAUGACCCGUAGUGUAGUGUGGUGUAGUGUGGUGUAGUGUAGUGUAGUGUAGUGUAGUGUAGUGUAGUGUAGUGUGUAGUGUAGUGUAGUGUAGUGUGUAGUGUAGUGUAGUGUAGUUUUUGAGACAGGGUCUCACUGUUGUCCAGGCUGGAAUAUAGUGAUCAGGGCUCACUGCAGCCUUGACCUCCGGGGCUCAAGUAAUCCUCCCGCCUUAGCCUCCCAAAUAACUGGGACUACAGGUGCACACCACUACACUUGGCUAAUUUUUGUAUUUUUUUUGUAAAGAUUGGCGGGGGGGGGGGGGUCUCACUGUGUUGCCUAGGCUGGUCUCGAACUCCAGGGCUCAAGUGAUUCUCCUGCCUCAGCCUCCCAAAGUACUGGGAUUACAGGUGUGAGCCAGCACACCCAGCUGACCCUUAUUUUAAAGAUGAAGUAAAGAAAAUCGGAGAGAUUAAAUGAUGUUUUCAAUGUUUCAUGACUAGUAAAUGGCUAAGCCAGAAAUCAACCUCAGGUCUGCCUAAAUCCCAAACCCCGUCAGUGCCUUCACCUGCUCUCCCUUUGUCACGAUGGCCAAUCUUUUCUAGCAUGUCUUCCUAGCAGCCACCUGCCAGGGUAGUGCUGAGUGCACAACCUUGUCUCACUCAGCUGGCUCAAUUUAGCCAACUUUUGAUUACCGAAAUUAAUACAGGGGUCACUGACUUGGGUCUAAAAUUUUAAAAUGGGUUAUUAAAAUGCUUGCUUUGGCCAGGCGCAGUGGCUCAUGCCUAUAAUCCCAGCACUUUGAGAGGCUGAGGCAAGAGGAUCAUUUGAGGUCAGGAGCUCGAAACCAGCCAGCCAACAUGGUGAAACCUAAUCUAUACUAAAAAUACAAAAAUUAGACAGGUGUGGUGACACUCACCUCUAGUCCCAGCUGCUCGGGAGGUUGAGGCAGGAGAAUCACUUGAACCCAGGAGGCAGAGGUUGCAGUGAGCCGAGAUUAUGCCACUGCACUCCAGCCUGGGUGACAGAUUGAGACACUGUCUUGAAAAACAAAAUAAAAUAAAAUGCUUGUUUUGAUUCUAGAGACUGUUAUUCGGUAUGCAUGGGAUAGGGGGAGGAGGGAAAACAGAUUUGUCCUUCCAUAGUCCUCUCUCUGAUCUCAUUCUGCAAUCUUUCCUCCCCCUUCCCCACCCAGCCCUCACACAGCUGCCAGGCAGCUUUCCAACAGAUUUGAUCAGAUGGCUCUCUCACUACUGUACUGGGCCCCCUGUAGCUUCUGGAAGAAAGUCCCACUCCUUAGCAAGCAGCCCAGGUGCUUCCUAAGCUGCCAGCUACCUUGCCGCCAGACUUCUUCCCCACUGGCUUACGAGGGUGCACUGUCAGCCCCAGCCCCCUGAGCCACAGCAUUCAGUAUCUAAAGCUGUAAUCUCUCCACUGCAGAGUGAGAAUGAAGAUACUGGCCACCCAGGUGGUUGUAAGGCUAAAACCACCACCUUUAAAGAUCGCUUGGCACAGUGCUGGCCACAGUGGGGCUCAUCACCACGUUUCUCACCUUCCCUUCCUCAGCCCUUGGAAAUGUGCAAGUAUAGUACAACCUACAAAGGCAAAUCCAUGUGGUAUAGUGCUCUGCACAGUGCAAUCCCUGUGUAAACAUUUCUAGACACAGAAAUGUCAGCUGGGGCAUUAUUUUGCUCAGGCUGACACUGAGGAAGACAUUUCCUGGAUUUUUUUCCUGUGCCCAUGGUGAGGUCCAAAGUGACCCAAAUACCACCUAAAUCCCUGGAUGCUAAACUCCUUGAGGGCAGAGACAGAGUUAUGAACCUCUGGGUCUCCCCAUAGGUCCAACCCAGCACUAGGUCUUCAGUGGCGUCUCUAAGAAUGUCAGUUGGUCAAUUUGUUAUUCAAUGGGCACAUGACAAGUUGCAGGAGUGCACAGGUGCUUUCAGGGUAUCAUCAUCUCAAACAGAAACAGCAUUGUUUCAAAGAGCCUGUAGGAGUCCAGAAGAAAUACAGGACUUUCUUCUUCCUUUUGCAAAAGCUGGCAGUUUAAAGCCACAGGGCAUUAGAUCAAGAAUGCCAUGAGGCUGACCAGUGAGGGGCUUGACUUUGAGGGCUCUGGGCUGGUUGGGCUGGCCAUGCUUACACUUGGAAAGCAGUAGGACCCAUUCCCUGGUUUUGAGCAUUCAAAGUAGCCUUGGCUUACUCUCUGCUCUGAGUUCUCACUUCAGUCUUCCUAUUCUGAGGUUCAAAGAACUGCAAAUAGUCCUCAGACAAAGCCUGUGGGGUGUCUCCCCAGAUUCCAGGAACUCUCCAAAUCAGAUAGACCAGGAUUAUGAAACUCAGCCUCUUCUAUGAAGGGUCCCACUGGAUCCCAUAAUAAGUGGGAAUUCUACCCUCAGCCCAGACUCUCCGGACUCCAGCCCAAUCUCAGUCUUAACCUCAGGGUUCCAGCUUUCCUCCGUCCAUUGCCACAUCAAACUCACCUGUUCUGGGUUUGCAUGUCAGGUACAUUUUCUGAUCAAUAUGCAUUUGCCUAUUCCUAUUCUGUGACUAAGGUAUUCCUUGGGUAUUGAUGGGUCUGCCUGCGUGUGUUCUCAAAUCUAAAGUCAUCAGCUACCCUUUGAACAUUGUAAGCAUGUUAUAUACAGGUUAUUUUUGCCUUUAGUUAUCUCAGUAACAUUAUAUUCCAUGUUAUAUGGCAUUUAAACUAUCUGGGUGGUCUUGUAUAUAAUACUUUACUUCCUUCAGAACCACAGGAAAAACUAAUUGCUAUUACUUCUGUGAGAGAUGGGGAUUCUCAAGGGACUUGCCCGUCAGUUUACAAAGUAGUGAUGGGGCUGGGCGUGGUGGCUAAUGCCUGUAAUCCCAGCACUUUGGGAGGCUGAGGCGGGCGGAUCGUUUGAGAUCAGGAGUUCCAGAUCAGACUGACCAGCAUGGGUAAACUCCAUCUCUACUAAAAAUACAAAAAUUAGCUGGGUGUGGUGGCGCAUGACUGUAAUCCCAGCUACUCAGGAGGCUGAGGCAUGAGAAUCACCUGAACCCGGAGGCAGAGGUUGCAGUGAGCUGAGAUUGCACCACUGUACUCCAGCCUGGGCAACAGAGGGAGACUCUGUCUCAAAAAAAAAAAAAAAAAAAAAAAGGAGCAAAGCCUCUGGCUCUUGUGUCAGCAGUCUCACCAGCCAGGGCUCUGUUUGUGUUCUGUAGUAGCCCCCACAGGGCUACAGGCGAAUAUAUUGCAGUUGCAGCCAGUAAGGAUGAUGCAACUGAGAAAGGCUGGCGGGCAGGUGGGUGCAGCCGGGGAUGGCCAGGGAUAGCCAGCCAGGCAGGGAACUCCUGAGCUGAGACUGCUGAAAGAUGGAUACUUCUGGGCCCCAGAAACAGCUCUUGGCUCCCAAAUACCCUCUCAGCUUCCUGAAAACCUCUAAAUAGCUAGGCGCAGUGGCUCAUGCCUGUAAUCCCAGCACUCUGGGAGGCUGAGGCAGGCGGAUCACUUGAGACCAGGAGUUCAAGACAAGCCUGGCCAACAUGGUGAAACCCCAUCUCUACUAAAAAUACAAAAAUUAGUUGGCCAUGGUGGCACGCACCUGUAAUCCCAGCUACUCGGGAGUCUGAGGCAGGAGAAUCACUUGAACCCAGGAGGCAGAAGUUGCAGUGAGCCGAGAUUGUGCCAUUGCACUCCAGCCUGGUCGUCAGAGUGAGACUCCGUCUCAAACAAAAAACAAGAAACAAAAAACAAGCCUCUAAAUAGGGAAUAAAUCUUUACAGUUCAAGUUGACAGACCUGGGUGCAAAUCCCAGCUGGGCUCCUCACUGGCUGUGUGAACUUGGGCAGGAUACCUAACCUCUCUGAAAUUUUGUUUAAUCAUAUGUUUUU